rnacentral:rRNA from 1 species
UAGGGAAUCUUCCGCAAUGGGCGAAAGCCUGACGGAGCAACGCCGCGUGAGUGAUGAAGGUCUUCGGAUCAUAAAACUCUGUUAUUAGGGAAGAACAUAUGUGUAAGUAACUGUGCACAUCUUGACGGUACCUAAUCAGAAAGCCACGGCUAACUACGUGCCAGCAGCCGCGGUAAUACGUAGGUGGCAAGCGUUAUCCGGAAUUAUUGGGCGUAAAGCGCGCGUAGGCGGUUUUUUAAGUCUGAUGUGAAAGCCCACGGCUCAACCGUGGAGGGUCAUUGGAAACUGGAAAACUUGAGUGCAGAAGAGGAAAGUGGAAUUCCAUGUGUAGCGGUGAAAUGCGCAGAGAUAUGGAGGAACACCAGUGGCGAAGGCGACUUUCUGGUCUGUAACUGACGCUGAUGUGCGAAAGCGUGGGGAUCAAACA